rnacentral:lncRNA from 1 species
AGGGCACAGUGCUGUGGUAGACACCCCUGGCAAUACUUUAUGGAGUAAAUGGCAAUACUUUAUACAGCCACAGAUGAAAGGAAAUCAAAGUACAUGUUUACUGUAACAUGUACUAUUCUUUCAGUUAAAAAAAAUGCUGUGUGUAUGUGUGUGUAUAUAUAUAUAUAUAUAUAUAUAUAUGUUAUUUUUUCCACUACAUUUAUUANAGUCCCUUGCCAUCAUCUUAUAGAGCCUCACUACUUUCUUCUCCCAUCAUUCUUGGUCCUAUCUCUGUGAUGUUGAAAUGGGUUUGCUAUUUCUGAUGGUAUUCUAACUGGGAUUCCUUCAGGAGAAAGCUUACAUGUAUUCCACUAAGACAUUCCUUGUUUACAUAAGCAGAGUUAGUCACAGUUGCUUUUUUUCCUUUUUUCUUUUUCUUUUCCCCAUGGCAGUGUCUAUAUAUCCUCUUGCUAUAUUUUCUCCAACCGUGUGCAAUUUCAGAUUGCUAAUGAGACAUUUGGGCUGUGGCAAACCAGAUGAUUGCUAGGGAUGGGAUUGAAAUCUUUUUGUAAAAUGUUUUUCAGGAUUCAUUUUCUCCAUAACAAGAGAGGUGUUUAAACGACAUUUGAAUCUGUAGCAAAUGCAAUCCUUUUUUCAUCUUCCUUUAGAGUACUCUAUCUUUUAACAUCUUUCUCCUGGUCAAUGUGCAUCCUGUUUGUAUGCACACACUUUAGUAUGAAAUCACUGCUGUCAGUCGGUUAUAAUUAAGUACAAAAAAAUGAAAAAGUAGAAUUACUGUGGGAAACUGUGUGAAGUCACAGUUUACAUUUAGAAGAACCACAGAUUCAACCUUAGGAAAGUCACUGAUGUGGAAUGCACUCCCAACUCUUUAAAUGUUCUGUUGUUGGCAUACUGCAAAGGGAGACAUUUUUUACUCUCCUUAGGGAAGGGAAAUUUUUUCAGUAGUGCGUAAAUGCCUAUCAGACUUAAUAUGAUUUUCUUGGCUUGACAUUUACACUGGUAAUCAAGUACCACAAGGCAUUUUAUGAGGACCAACUGGUUCACAACCUAAAGCACCUUCAACCCAUACCCACUGGGUUGAUAACAGGAACCAUGGAUCAUAUAGGGCUUGGUAUGUUCUGGAAAACCAAGUGAAAGAUGAAGUCCUCCAUUUAAUGAUGAGGAAAUUCAAGUCUUAGAGAGCUCAAGAUUCAUAAUCCUCAAACAAAUUCUAAUUUUCAAAAGAGGAAAGCCUUUGGGGCCUCCUCCCUGGGGACUGUUUGAUGUUGGAAUGAAGAGGACAUUGUGUCCUCAGACAUAGGGACUAAGGUCUUCUCUACUUGGCUGUUAAAAGGUGACAGCUGGAGUUGGGACUCCCUGAGAUACAGCCAGAUACCUCAAAGUCAAAAGAGCAGCAGACAAAGAAAAUCCAGUGAUGAAUUAAUAUCAACACGUGGUAGGAAAAAAAAAAAUGCAGUAACGAGGAGGCCAAUGAUCUUCAGAACAAGUUUUUCCCCAACUUGAAAUGUUGAAAUAAGACUGGAUGUCACUCUCCUAUAGACUUUGGUGCAUGGCAGACAUUGGAUAUGUCUAAAUUCAUUUAUCUCAUUGGUGAAAGACAGAAUGUGAAGUUAGGAAAAUGAAUGGUUCUAUUUCUAUUUAAGGAAGAUUCCUUGAUAUGUUUCAGCCUGACCCCAUUAAGCAGUCUCAAAUUGACAAAAUAUCUCUAGACCAAAAAUGGAAGGUUAAUUUAAUUAAAGUGUCACAACUGGACUCUUCCUGACUAAAUUCAGGGCUAGUGUUAAUUUUCUUGAAAUUACCUUGUCUUGAAUUCUUCAUAUUAUCUUUGGGUGCCUAUAAUACUCUGCCCAAAAUAAAUGCUUAAAGUUUAUGGGAUUGUAUGAUUUA